AAGCCUGGUGUAGAGGGUGGAGAAUGUGGAUUUAGUGUAUGCUUCCAAGAAAGCUAUUGCCCAGAGACUGCCUGAGCAUUAGUCUGCUUAUGGGAGGAGAUGAGGCAUCAGCAAGAAACCAUGAUGAGAAGGUCACUCUCUAUCUUCACUAGCAGAUCACUUGAUAUGUCAUUAUCUUCUACAUCAGACUUGUCAGACCAUGUAUGUAUUCACAAACUGCUCCCAUUGUAUACCUAUACAGGUUUUGAUUCUSUUCAUAAAGUAACAAUACUAAUUAUUGAGCAACUUCAAAAUUCAAUGGAGUUAUUAAGAAAAAGAUACUGAAAAAUAUAUAAAGCGCAC